rnacentral:rRNA from 1 species
UACAGAGGUCCCGAGCGUUGUUCGGAUUCAUUGGGCGUAAAGGGUGCGUAGGCGGCGGGCAAGUCUGAUGUGAAAUCCCGGGGCUCAACCCCGGAACUGCAUUGGAUACUGCCUUGCUAGAGUACUGGAGAGGGAACUGGAAUUUACGGUGUAGCAGUGAAUGCGUAGAGAUCGUAAGGAAGGCCAGUGGCGAAGGCGAGUUCCUGGACAGUGACUGACGCUGAGGCACGAAGGCCAGGGGAGCGAAACGG